rnacentral:lncRNA from 1 species
UCAUCUUCCGUCGUGUUUCAGGUAUCGAUUCCGGUCAGUUUUCCAUGUUCAAAUUCUGUCAAUUCUGCCCUCGUUUCUUAGCAAAGAUUUAGUUCUAGAUUCAAUCUUAUUUUUAGUUCUUGUUUCUUUACAAUUCAUUAGCAAUAAAUGUGUAUUGUUUUCUUGAUCAAUUGCAAUCAAAUUGAACAAUUAAUCUAGAAGUCAGUAGUUGUUAAUCUUGUAAUUUUGAAUCUUAGUUUCUAUCUCAUUACUCUGUAGGUUUUGUUACUGUAUCUGUUAUUUCUUUUAGUUGAUGAUCUGAAUCAAUUAAAUCAUUUCAGUAUUUUAUUUUAAUUCUGUAAUCUUCUUCUAGUUUGGAAUCUGAAUCGAUUAAAUCAUUUCAGUACCUUCUUUUAGUUCUGUAAUCUCCUUCCAGUUGUAAUCUGAAUCAAUUAAAUCAUUUCAGUGUUUUCUUUCAAUUCUGUGAUUUCCUUUUAGUUCCACGUGCCUCCACCAACUUUUUACACAUAUCCAACUUACACCACAAUUCAGCAACCAACAAAUUCAGUAUAUUCAGAAAGUUAUCAGCAAACUCCACCAUCUGAGAUGGCAAUGUCGGAAGCUGCAGCACUUGAGGACUCAGCCUGGUGCUUGGAUUCAGGAGCAUCCAGCCACAUGACUCCAGACCUAACUGCAUUCACUGCCUAUGAAACAGCUCCAGGUACAUAAUAUGUAAUAGUUGGAAGUGGAGAUUACUUACCUGUUAGAUAUAGAGGUAGCUAGAGUCAUAUUGAAAUUUAAGGCAAAAGAAUAUAAUCUAGAGGACUUUUAUGUGUACCAGACCAGGGUUAAAGAAAAAUCUCAUGUCUAUUCAGAAGUUAUCAAAAUAUCUAAAUUGCAUAAUUGUUUUUAAUGAUAAAAAUUUUAUGAUCAAGGACCAAGUCACUAUAGAGACAUUAUUUUCUGGCAAUAGUUCAGAAGACCUCUACCAUAUAUACCCAGAUAAUAAAGCUUGCUAUGAGAUAAAAGCUACAAAAGAAACAUGGUACAACAGAUUAAGGCAUCCAUCAGAGGGUGUAUUAAAGAAAAUUGAACCAGAGUUACAAAUCCAGAAUAAAGAAGGAAGUAAGACAAACUUUUGUCCAGUUUGUCCUCAGGGGAAGGCACAUCAACAACCAUACAUCAGAAGAGAAGGGAUAGCAUCUACACCAUUGAAAACACUACAUAUAGAUCUGUGGGCACCAUCUCCUAAAACUUCGGUAGGAAAUUUCAGAUUUUAUGUAUCAAUAGUGGAUGAGUGUACAAGAUUUAUAUGGUUUUAUCCAAUAAAUAAUAAAUCUGAAUUUUUCUCCAUUUUUGUCAAAUUUCGUGAUUUGGUAGAAAAUUAUUUGGGACAAAAAAUAAAAAAAAAUUCAAACAGAUCAAGGAGGGGAAUUUAUGAAUUUUAGAUUCAAAAGAUACCUAGAGACACAAGGAAUAAACCAUAAAUUGUCAUGCACAUAUACACCUCAACAACAUGGCUUAGUUGAAAGAAGGCAUAGACAGGUACUUAAAGUAGGGAGGUGUUAAAUGAUAAAAGCAGGGAUUCCACAUGAAUAUUGGCUAGAGGUAUUCUCCUCGGGCAGUAUACCUUAUAAACAGACUAAAAACACCCAAUUUGGAAAACAAAAGCCCAUUUGAGAUAAUAAUGAAAAAAUUACCUGAUUACACACUAAUGAAGACUAUAGGAUGUGAAUGCUACCCUCUAUUACCUAAAGGUGAAAGAAACAAGCUAAUGCCUAAAUCAAGAAAAUGUGUAUUUUUGGGGUAUGUAACUCAACAGAAAGGAUACAGGUGUUUAGAUAUGGAAACUAGAAAGAUAAGGAUAGUAAGAAAUGUAAUAUUUAAUGAAGAAUCCUUUCCAUUUAUUGAUGAUCCAAAAUCAAUAAAUAUCCAAACUAAGUCAUACAAACCUAUAGAGUUAGUAUCUCAAUUACAAAUACCAAUAAUUAGAGAUACAAAUAAUGAAAGUAAUGUUCAACCACAAAAUGAGAACAUUACUGAAAUAUCAGAUGAGCACUCAGGCUUAGAAAGGAAUCAAUCUGAUUCUCUUUCUAACAGAGACAGAACUCAUCAAACUAGUCAAAAUCCACAAAUAAAGUCUAGCCCAAUUAGAUCUAAUAACAAUAUAGAAAAUACUAUUCCAAACACUGAGAGUAGGAUUAACCUGGAAUUAAAUCCAGGUAUAAAUCCAUCCACUACUUUGAACACUAAAAUUCAGAGUAGCUCUUCCUCUUUUCCAAACUUAAGAAGGCCAGAAAGAGUAAAACUUCCAAAUGUACUAUAUAAAAUUUUUGAUAUGAAUUCUGAUGCAUGUAAUAAUGUGUUUUAUACUGAUGCUAUUGUGGAGCCUAGUUGUUUUUCACAGGCUAACAAACAUAAAUGCUGGAAAGAAGCAAUGUAAGAAGAGAUGAAAGCAAUUAGAGAAAAUAAUACAUGGAUAUUGGUACCAAAAGAAAGAUAGAAUGUGAUAGGCUCAAAAAUGGAUAUAUAAGGUGAAAAGAAAGUCCAAUGGAAGUGUGGAAAGGUGCAAGGCCAGACUAGUGGCACAAGGAUAUAACCAGGAGGAAAGUGUGGAUUUUCAGUAUACAUAUAGCCCAGUAGUAAAGAUUUUAAUAGUAAGAACUGUAAUAUCACUAACAGUGACAUAUAGCUGGCCUCUCAGGCAACUUGAUGUCAGAAAUGCUUUUCUGAAUGGAAAUCUUCAUGAAACUGUAUACAUGAAGCAACCAAAGUGAUAUGACGACAGGAGUACACCAGGAGAUAUAUGCUUACUGCAAAAAGCAUUGUAUGGGUUAAAAUAAGCUUUCAUGGCCUGGUAUCUCAGACUACAACAGUAUCUAAUAUCUGAGGAGUUCAAAAAUUCAAAUGUUGAUGCAUCACUAUUUUAUAAAGUUAAUGGGAGUCACAAGUUCUUAAUUUUAGUAUAUGUGGAUGAUAUUGUGAUAACAGGUACACAUGAAGAAGAAAUAAACAAGUUUGUGGGAAAAUUGUAUGAAACCUUCAAAUGUAGAGAUAUGGGAAGACUGAUUUUUUUCUUGGGAAUUGAAUGUAUCUACCAAAGAGAUAACAUAAUAUUAUCACAAGAAAAAGUAUAUAAAGGAUGUCCUUAGAAGAUUUGGAUAUGAACAAGCAAAUCCAGUCAAAACACCUAUGACCCAAUCCACAAAACUACAACAAUAUGGGAAAUCCUGUAGAAGACAUCACAGCCUACAGAAGCAUGGUGUGGAGCCUUCAAUAUUUAUCCCUCACUAGAACUGAUUUGUCAUUUGCCAUCAAUCAAGUAUGCCAGUUCUUACAAAAUCCCAAAGAAGGACACUUAAUGGCAGUAAGGAGAAUCCUGAGAUAUUUACAAGGGACAUCCAAUCUAGGGAUGAGAAUAACCAAUUGAACAAGAAAAGUGAUGAAUUUAGUGGCUUAUACUGAUUCAGAUUGGGGUGGCUCAUCAGAUAGGAGGUCAAUUACAAGAUCAAACAUAUGGUAUGACAAUAAUUUGUUGUCUUGGUCAGCUAAAAAGAAGCCAACAAUAUCAAAUUCAAGCUCAGAGGCAUAAUUUAAGGCCAUGGCUCAUGUUAUAUCAAAAGUUAGAUGGUUUUGCUACCUAUUUAGAGAGUUGGGGCUCAAAUUGAGCUCACCUCCAACACUAUUGUGUGACAGUAAAUCAGCGAUUUUCAUGGCAAAGAAUCCGACAAUUAUUUGACAUUCCAGGCAUAUUGAAAUUAGUUACAACUUUGUGAGAAAAUUAAUUAAUAGAAGAACACUUAAAGUAGAAUAUGUACCUACAACUCUACAGUUUGCAUACAGAUUUACAAAAACAUUGAGCACUGAAGGAUUUGUCCAACACCGGCAACGUCACAAGCUCGUUCCAAUCCGACCAUCGGAGCCGAUACAAUCAAAUCUUGCAGAUUCCAUCUUACCAGAUUUGAGGGAGGAUGUGAAAGAGGAAGAAGAGAUACCUGCCCAAAGUGAAGAAGAUUUAAAUUUGGGAUUUUAAAAUGGGUUGACUCCGACACCCAAAGGUAGGAUCCGAAUAAAUCAACUUAUGGAGGAAUGAGUGAGAUACGGAAGUGAUUAUAAAAAGGAGGAGUUAUUAGAAAGGCUACCGGAAAAACAGUUCCAUUUGUGAGUUCUUCUUUUCCUGAUCUUCUUCCAUUUGCUCUCGGUGUUCUUGCAUUCAAUUUCGCAUUUUUGAAUCUCAUCUUCCGUCGUGUUUCAGGUAUCGAUUCCGGUCAGUUUUCCAUGUUCAAAUUCUGUCAAUUCUGCCCUCAUUUCUUAGCAAAGAUUUAGUUCUAGAUUCAAUCUUAUUUUUAGUUCUUGUUUCUUUACAAUUCAUUAGCAAUAAAUGUGUAUUGUUUUCUUGAUCAAUUGCAAUCAAAUCAAACAAUUAAUCUGGAAUUCAUUAGUUAUUAAUCUUGUAGUUUUGAAUCUUAGUUCCUAUCUCAUUACUCUGUAGGUUUUGUUACUGUAUAUGUUAUUUCUUUUAAUUGAUGAUCUGAAUCAAUUAAACCAUUUCAGCACUUUAUUUUAAUUAAAUCAUUUAAAUCAUUUCUAGUUGUAAUCUGAAUCAAUUAAAUCAUUUCAAUGUUUUCUUUCAAUUUUGUGAUUUCCUUUUAUUUUGUACUCUGAAUCGGCUAAAUCAUAUUAGUUCUUUCUUUGAAUAAACAAAAUUCUGCAUCAUGCUUUUCUUAAAUUUAUAGUAUGAAAAAUUUACAGAAUUCUUUCAUUGUUAUUACAAAUUUCAGUCAUUAGUUUAGAUUUGAAUUCUUCACAAGUACAACAUCCGCAAAAGACAUUUUUUAAAUGAUGUACAAAAUUAGAUGUCACUUUAUUCUUUCCAAAAGACAUACCUAUCAAUUUUUAUCUCAAAUAUAAUCAAAUAUUAAUUAUAACCAUUUUUAACUUAUAUCUUUACUUAAUAACUAUCAUGACUUGGAGUAAUUGAUUGACGUACCUCCACUGUCAUUAAUGCGGAUGGUACACAUACAACGAUCCCCUGUCAAAAUAUACAACAAAAUAUACAACAAAAAACACAAUAAAUCAUACUCCAAAAUAUUAUUCCCUGAGAAAUACUAAUUUACUAAAAAUUAACAUUCAUAAAACACCAAAACAUAUAUACCUUCUAAUAUCAACAAGAACCGAUUUGGGGAUAACGUUCUUCUAACAGUGAACCCCAGAACACAAACGGACGAACACUAAGAAGGAGAGGAAAAUGACUCACUUAUACUAAAAAAUCUAACUACGUUUCGAACUACCUCGGUUGCACAACGAUCGUCUCCUUCGGCUGCACAACGCUUCAACACGGUCGCGUCUACUCAAAAAAAAGGUAACCAAUAUUUGAUUUUAAUUAGGGUAAACAAAAUUUGACAACUGAAAGAUGACGACACAUACUAUUAUAAACCUAUAAAAC